rnacentral:tRNA from 1 species
GCCUCCAUAGCUUAGUGGUAAAGCUACGGACUCUUAAUCCGCAGACCUUGGUUCGAUUCCAAGUGGGGGCA